rnacentral:rRNA from 1 species
GAUGAACGCUAGCGGCAGGCCUAACACGUGCAAGUCGAGGGGUAGAGGAAGCUUGCUUCCUUGAGACCGGCGCACGGGUGCGUAACGCGUAUGCAAUCUGCCUUGUACUGAGGGAUAGCCCAGAGAAAUUUGGAUUAAUACCUCAUAGCAUUAUGAAAUCGCAUGGUUUUAUAAUUAAAGUUCCAACGGUACAAGAUGAGCAUGCGUCCCAUUAGUUAGUUGGUAAGGUAACGGCUUACCAAGACGAUGAUGGGUAGGGGUCCUGAGAGGGAGAUCCCCCACACUGGUACUGAGACACGGACCAGACUCCUACGGGAGGCAGCAGUGAGGAAUAUUGGUCAAUGGACGCAAGUCUGAACCAGCCAUGCCGCGUGCAGGAUGAAGCAUCUAUGGUGUGUAAACUGCUUUUGUACGGGAAGAAACACUCCUACGUGUAGGAGCUUGACGGUACCGUAAGAAUAAGGAUCGGCUAACUCCGUGCCAGCAGCCGCCGCGGUAA